GGGUGAUUAGCUCAGCUGGGAGAGCACCUCCCUUACAAGGAGG
rnacentral:tRNA from 1 species